GAUGAACGCUGGCGGCGUGCCUAAUACAUGCAAGUCGAGCGAACAGACGAGGAGCUUGCUCCUCUGACGUUAGCGGCGGACGGGUGAGUAACACGUGGAUAACCUACCUAUAAGACUGGGAUAACUUCGGGAAACCGGAGCUAAUACCGGAUAAUAUAUUGAACCGCAUGGUUCAAUAGUGAAAGACGGUUUUGCUGUCACUUAUAGAUGGAUCCGCGCCGCAUUAGCUAGUUGGUAAGGUAACGGCUUACCAAGGCAACGAUGCGUAGCCGACCUGAGAGGGUGAUCGGCCACACUGGAACUGAGACACGUUCCAGACUCCUACGGGAGGCAGCAGUAGGGAAUCUUCCGCAAUGGGCGAAAGCUUGACGUAGCAACGCCGCGUGAGUGAUGAAGGUCUUCGGAUCGUAAAACUCUGUUAUUAGGGAAGAACAAAUGUGUAAGUAACUAUGCACGUCUUGACGGUACCUAAUCAGAAAGCCACGGCUAACUACGUG
rnacentral:rRNA from 1 species